ACGCACCCUUCGGGGUGAGUGGCGCACGGCUGAGUAACACGUGGGAAUCUGUCGUCGAGUGGGGGAUAACGCACCGAAAGGUACGCUAAUCCCGCAUACGUUCCGUAAGGAAGAAAGGCGCAAGUCGCUGGACGAGGAGCCUGCGGCCCAUCAGGUAGUUGGAGGGGUAACGGCCCACCAAGCCAAUGACGGGUAGCUGGUCUGUGAGGACAACCAGCCAGACUGGGACUGAGAACGGCCCAGACUCCUACGGGAGGCAGCAGUAAGGAAUUUUCGUCAAUGGGGGAAACCCUGAACGAGCAACGCCGCGUGGAGGAUGACGGUCUUCGGAUUGUAAACUCCUUUUAUGAGGGACGAUAAUGACGGUACCUCAGGAAUAAGCCCCGGCUAACUCUGUGCCAGCAGCCGCGGUAAUACAGAGGGGGCAAGCGUUGUCCGGAAUUACUGGGCGUAAAGAGCACGUAGGCGGUCGCGCAAGUGGUGUGUGAAACCAAUCAGCUUAACUGAUUGACGCCAUGCCAAACUGCGCGACUCGAGUCAUGGAGAGGUUAUUCGAAUUGCUGGUGUAGUGGUGAAAUGCGUAGAGAUCAGCAGGAAGACCAAGGGCGAAAGCAGAUAACUGGCCAUGGACUGACGCUCAGGUGCGAAAGCGUGGGGAGCAAACUGGAUUAGAUACCCAGGUAGUCCACGCUGUAAACGAUGUAUGCUCGGUAUGUGUGCCUGUUAAGGGCAUGGGUACCUUAGGAAACCCGGUAAGCAUACCGCCUGGGAAGUACGAACGCAAGUUUAAAACUCAAAGGAAUUGACG
rnacentral:rRNA from 1 species